AUGAACGCUGGCGGCGUGCCUAAUACAUGCAAGUCGAGCGAACGGACGAGAAGCUUGCUUCUCUGAUGUUAGCGGCGGACGGGUGAGUAACACGUGGAUAACCUACCUAUAAGACUGGGAUAACUUCGGGAAACCGGAGCUAAUACCGGAUAAUAUUUUGAACCGCAUGGUUCCAAAGUAAAAGACGGUCUUGCUGUCACUUAUAGAUGGAUCCGCGCUGCAUUAGCUAGUUGGUAAGGUAACGGCUUACCAAGGCAACGAUGCAUAGCCGACCUGAGAGGGUGAUCGGCCACACUGGAACUGAGACACGGUCCAGACUACUACGGGAGGCAGCAGUAGGGAAUCUUCCGCAAUGGGCGAAAGCCUGACGGAGCAACGCCGCGUGAGUGAUGAAGGUCUUCGGAUCGUAAAACUCUGUUAUUAGGGAAGAACAUAUGUGUAAGUAACUGUGCACAUCUUGACGGUACCUAAUCAGAAAGCCACGGCUAACUACGUG
rnacentral:rRNA from 1 species